AAUGAACGUUGGCGGCGUGGAUUAGGCAUGCAAGUCGAGCGGAAAGGCCCGCAAGGGCACUCGAGCGGCGUAAGGGACAGUAAUGUGUAGGUAACGUACCCCUGGGUCUAGGAUAGCUGCGGGAAACUGCAAUUAAUACUAGAUAACGUCUCCGGACCAAAGGUGUGAUUCCACCUGGGUAGCGGCCUACAUCCUAUUAGCUAGUUGGCGAGGUAAUGGCUCACCAAGGCGAAGAUGGGUAGCAGGUGUGAGAGCACGACCUGCGUCACUGGGACUGAGACACUGCCCAGACACCUACGGGUGGCUGCAGUCGAGAAUCUUCGGCAAUGGGCGAAAGCCUGACCGAGCGACGCCGCGUGUGGGAUGAAGGCCUUCGGGUUGUAAACCACUGUCGGAGGGGAUGAAGUGUUAGUGGGUUCUCCCAUUAACUUGACUGAUCCUCGGAGGAAGGGUGGGCUAACUUCGUGCCAGCCGCCGCCGUAAUAC
rnacentral:rRNA from 1 species